UCUAAGUGCCUGUCAUUUUCUCAUUUUUGUAUACAUGCCUUUUCUGGCAUUUGUAAUAUUGCUUUUCUUGAUGUACUCAUGCUUUUCCCUUGUUUGAGCAUUUCAUUCUGCAUAAUCAUCUUCUUUUUUGCCACAUUACUGUUGCUUGUAUCAACUUGUAGUCUGUAGACUUGUAGUAAUGUAGCAAAUCAGGAAAGCUAGUUUUGUUGUCGUAUCAUAGCACAGUUGUUCUAUGGAAUACUCAAGCCAAUCAGGGCUGGGCACAUAUGAAUACUAGAGGCAGUUCUCUGCCCUAGCAGAGAAGUGGGAGUUUUAAAUCAGUUAGUAGAUAGCCAGCAGAAGAGUAACAUCUCUCUUUCAACAUGGAACAGCUUUUCAUUUUCACAUCAACUUCACACAGCUAACUCUGAAUUAUAUCAUAUCUCAACUGGUAAUACCAUGAACAGCUUUUCACUUGCACAUCAACUUGGCACAGCUAACUCUGAAUUAUAUUGGCUCUCGACUUACCACUAAAUUCUUAUUUCUAACAUAAGUGAUAACAGCUUUCCCUGACUCACACACACACGGGCUACACUCUUAUUACUUGUCAGCUCAUGUUGAUUAAAAAAUAUUUUGUCAUAAAAAAUGCUUUCUGAUAUUUUUCCUUCAACCAACUUUCACGCAAUAAAUGCACCCUUACUAAAUGGUAACCUUUCACUAAAUUGGUGACUUUCUACACUGGUAAUUUUUUACAAGUGUAAACCUUGAUAUAAAUGUAAACAUUGACAUAAGUGAGCCUUAAAACAAAUCUAAACAUCAACACUUUGUUAAUAUAUUUCAGUUGAAAUACUUUGCCUUUCAACCAAUUUUUAAAAUAAUGAAGAAUUUAGUUAAGUAAGUUUGUCAUUGUUAAGCUGAUGUUUAGAAGAUAAAUUAACAUGGGAUUUUGAUGGAAGAUUUUAAUUUAAAUCGAUUUAAAAGUGGAAGUUUGAAUCAUAGAACCUAGAGAAAGUUUCAGAUGGGUUGGUGUCAAAUGGGUUAACAUAUAAGUAAACUUUGAUACAAGAUUAAGCAUUGUCUCUGAUGUAAAUAACUGGCACUUGAUCUGAUCAAUGGAACAGCCUGCUCGUGAAAUUAACAUGAGCACUCCACAGACAUGUGUAUUCUUAACAUAGUUCUUAGGGUGAGUCAGCAUGAUGCAGAAUGUGACAAGGUUGGUCCUUUGAGUAACAGUUACAACUUAUUUUUGCCAGCUGAGUGGACUGAAGCAACAUGAAAUAAAGUGUCUUGCUCAAGAACACAAUGCACUGCUGGGAAUUGAACUCAUGAUCUUAAUUUUGUGAGCUGAAUACCAUAACUUCUGAGCCAUAUGCCCUUGAUCUAAAGCUUAGCACAGAUUUAAACCUUGAUACAAGUGUAAAUCUAAUUUUGAAAAUAAUUAUUAAAAAAUUAGAUUGUCUCAAUGGGUGGUGUUGACUUCUAUUGACUUUUAUUGACUUCUUCAAUAAAAACAUUUAAGAAGUUAAAUCUAUAAAUAUUUUAUUACAAGUGACAAAAUUCACUGGUUUAACCCUUUAGUAAUUAAACUGACCAUAUCAGGUCCAAAAUUUCUUCCUGUUUUAUGUUCAAACUGGUCAAAUCUGGCUUGUCAUACCUAUCCUACAAUUCUAAAAGUAAGCAAUCAUCACAGAACUCUUGAAGCAACAAGAUAAUGGAUGAUUAAAUCAAAACAAUGUGAAUAAAUUGGUAUUACAUUUGACAGCAUAAUCUGAGUGCUUGGGGGUUAAAAAAGUUAUUUCCAAGGUUUCUUAUAUACUUCUUACAAUCCAACAGCAUUCCUAUGUUCAGAUAAUUUCAUUCAAUUUUUUUUAUUGCAGUUAACUUGUAUUAUUAAGAUCAACUGCAAGAAACAAAAUAUUCCUAUACAAUAUUGAUUUCUAUGAAUGCUUCACUAUAACUUCUAUUACCUGUGUUUUAGAACUUCAUAACCAUCAACAUUUACAUAGUGCACAUGCUCAAUGACUGCUGACACCAUUUUCUGCAUUGAUCAAAAAGUGUUGGUUUCCCCUCUCUGUAAAACCUCAAUAACUAAAAACUUCAUAAGAAGUGUUUCCAGAUCAGUUCCACUGUGUGGAUAAUAUUUUAUAAUACUUUUACAGACUAUGAUGACUGAUAAGUUCACAUCAAGAAGUGACCAAAUCUUUCACCAGAUUUGUAACAAAGUUAUACAGGAAAUACAUUCACAACUGUUAAGGAGGAGGGGAACAGGAUGGUGAUGGGAGGAGAAGACAAUGGAGACGAAUAAGAAUGGAGGAGGGAUGAUAUUGAUGAUGAUUAAUCAAAAGUUGAUACUAAAUGUUUCUUACAGUAUUUUAAAAUCAAAUUCUUUUGAUAACCAUGACAUGGUAAUGAACUCUCAUCGAUUUAUUCUCUGCUGAAAAUUCUUUGUUGCCUGACCAUGUAUAAAAAUAAACAAAGUUUGUACUUAGGACAGUGUCAUUAUGCUGAAGUAUUCAAAUAUUGAAUGAAUACAUUGCUUACAUUGUAAUUUAUUUUCGGUAUUAUUUCAUUUAAAUCAUUUAUUUGCAAUUUUAAAGAGAAUCAAUUUUACCCCAAAGCUAACUUUGAUGAAUUUCCUUUUUUCUUCUAGAAUCUUUCAAAAUGUUUGAUUAGAAAUUUCUGCAUUUAUUUAUGCCCACAGCAUAAACAGAAAGUAGCAAUAAAAAUGCAUUUGUUUCAAUAUAAAAUAAUAAAUUUGAAAUUCUAAAACAUUGAAUAUGAACAUUUAUAAAUAGUGCAAAACACAACAAAACUUACUAAUUUUUAAUUAUUUCUUAAUUUGAAUGUUAUUCAACAGUCACUUUAAUUAUUCAAAAUAUAAUGUAAAUAAAUGCUAGCUGUUGAGAUGAAUCAGUGCUGAAAAUUUAUUAUUGAAUUCUGAGCUAGUAUCAAAGAAGAGAAAUCAAAAGCAUUCGCAGGCCCAGAAAAAUCUGCUGCUGCUGCCACUAUCUAUUCUUGAGUAAAAUCCCAUCUAUUAAAGGAAUAUUUGCAAAUUCUGUCUGAACAAGCAGAAUGGGUUAACUUCUAAUCUGAAUUACUACUAGUACCCACCCUGGUACUACAGGCUAGCCACUCUUUAAUUACAGCCAACUACCAAUAUACUACAAGCUGCCCCAAUUUUCCAUUUGUAGAAUUUCAUACACUGCAAUUAUCAUAACAGCCAGCCUAUUUUUUUACCAUUACUGGUUGCAUGCCACAAAGAACAAGUUGAGAGUUCAUGCUGACAUCAUACAGAACAACUUUAUAGAAGUCAUUGUAUAAAUCAUGCAAAUUGGAUUUAAAAGCUUUCAAAUUUAUUAUUUUAAAAAUAUUACAAAUUUGAAACUUUGAAAAGCAAGAACUAAUUCAAGGAUUAUAUUUCAUGAAAUAAAGGGACAAACAGGCAUUAAACCUCAAAAAAUA